rnacentral:rRNA from 1 species
AUUGAACGCUGGCGGCAGGCCUAACACAUGCAAGUCGAGCGGAUGAAGGGAGCUUGCUCCUGGAUUCAGCGGCGGACGGGUGAGUAAUGCCUAGGAAUCUGCCUGGUAGUGGGGGAUAACGUCCGGAAACGGGCGCUAAUACCGCAUACGUCCUGAGGGAGAAAGUGGGGGAUCUUCGGACCUCACGCUAUCAGAUGCACCUAGGUCGGCUUCGCUAGUUGGUGGGGUAAAGGCCUACCAAGGCGACGAUCCGUAACUGGUCUGAGAGGAUGAUCAGUCACACUGGAACUGAGACACGGUCCAGACUCCUACGGGAGGCAGCAGUGGGGAAUAUUGGACAAUGGGCGAAAGCCUGAUCCAGCCAUGCCGCGUGUGUGAAGAAGGUCUUCGGAUUGUAAAGCACUUUAAGUUGGGAGGAAGGGCAGUAAGUUAAUACCUUGCUGUUUUGACGUUACCAACAGAAUAAGCACCGGCUAACUUCGUG